rnacentral:rRNA from 1 species
GGGGAAUAUUGGGCAAUGAGCGAAAGCCUGACCCAGCAACGCCGCGUGAAGGAAGAAGGCUUUCGGGUUGUAAACUUCUUUGACAGGGGAAGAGUAGAAGACGGUACCCUGAAAACAAGCCACGGCUAACUACGUGCCAGCAGCCGCGGUAAUACGUAGGUGGCAAGCGUUGUCCGGAUUUACUGGGUGUAAAGGGCGUGCAGCCGGGAAGGCAAGUCAGAUGUGAAAUCCGUGGGCUUAACCCACGAACUGCAUUUGAAACUGCUUUUCUUGAGUAUCGGAGAGGUAAUCGGAAUUCCUAGUGUAGCGGUGAAAUGCGUAGAUAUUAGGAAGAACACCAGUGGCGAAGGCGGAUUACUGGACGACAACUGACGGUGAGGCGCGAAAGCGUGGGGAGCAAAC